AUGAACGCUGGCGGCGUGCCUAACACAUGCAAGUCGAACGGAGAUUACGGACGGAAGUUUUCGGAUGGAAGACUGUAAUUCUUAGUGGCGGACGGGUGAGUAACGCGUGGGCAACCUGCCCUAUACAGGGGGAUAGCAGCUGGAAACGGCUGGUAAGACCGCAUAAGUCGGUUAAAUCGCAUGAUUUGAUCGGGAAAUGAGCAAUCAGGUAUAGGAUGGGCCCGCGUCCGAUUAGCCAGUUGGCAGGGUAAAAGCCUACCAAAGCGACGAUCGGUAGCCGGACUGAGAGGUCGGACGGCCACAUUGGGACUGAGACACGGCCCAAACUCCUACGGGAGGCAGCAGUGGGGGAUAUUGCACAAUGGAGGAAACUCUGAUGCAGCGACGCCGCGUGAGUGAAGAAGUAUUUCGGUAUGUAAAGCUCUAUCAGCAGGGAAGAUGAUGACGGUACCUGACGAAGAAGCCCCGGCUAACUACGUG
rnacentral:rRNA from 1 species